UACAGAGGGUGCGAGCGUUAAUCGGAAUUACUGGGCGUAAAGCGCACGCAGGCGGUCUGUCAAGUCGGAUGUGAAAUCCCCGGGCUCAACCUGGGAACUGCAUUCGAAACUGGCAGGCUAGAGUCUUGUAGAGGGGGGUAGAAUUCCAGGUGUAGCGGUGAAAUGCGUAGAGAUCUGGAGGAAUACCGGUGGCGAAGGCGGCCCCCUGGACAAAGACUGACGCUGAGGGGCGAAAGCGUGGGGAGCGAACGGG
rnacentral:rRNA from 1 species